rnacentral:rRNA from 1 species
GAUGAACGCUGGCGGCGUGCCUAAUACAUGCAAGUCGAGCGAACAGACGAGGAGCUUGCUCCUCUGACGUUAGCGGCGGACGGGAGAGUAACACGUGGAUAACCUACCUAUAAGACUGGGAUAACUUCGGGAAACCGGAGCUAAUACCGGAUAAUAUAUUGAACCGCAUGGUUCAAUAGUGAAAGACGGUUUUGCUGUCACUUAUAGAUGGAUCCGCGCCGCAUUAGCUAGUUGGUAAGGUAACGGCUUACCAAGGCAACGAUGCGUAGCCGACCUGAGAGGGUGAUCGGCCACACUGGGACUGAGACACGGUCCAGACUCCUACGGGAGGCAGCAGUAGGGAAUCUUCCGCAAUGGGCGAAAGCCUGACGGAGCAACGCCGCGUGAGUGAUGAAGGUCUUCGGAUCGUAAAACUCUGUUAUUAGGGAAGAACAAAUGUGUAAGUAACUAUGCACGUCUUGACGGUACCUAAUCAGAAAGCCACGGCUAACUACGUG